AACCCAUGUUGAGGAUAUUUCCACAAGAGAUCCUUGAAUUGUUCCCAUGUUUGAAAUAACAAUUUUAUCUCUAUCUGAACAUAUGAAGAGAUCUCAUUUUGAAGCU